GGGCUUGCGCGCGCCGCAUCCCGCGCCUAUAUUCGGAAUGUUCCGGUUCGCCGGGACUAUGGCGAUAAACGCACCCGUAAUACGCGGAUCGGACCCGGGGGCGGUACCCGGCGGCUCCACCAACACACUCCCGCAUUGGGGAUGGAGGGGGCCGAAACAGGAUCGACGAACGUCUAAAGGGGCCAGCUUUUGCUCGGUGAGGUACCACCGUUAUCGGUCCGAAAUGUACAGUUGCCAAUGACAACCGUGCUCCGGCAAUGGCUCUGGCAGCGUAAGCUGUUCGAGUCGCCGAAACUAAGUCCUUGCGCUUAGCAGCGUAAGGCGGGGUUCGCAGGCACCUGGCAACAGAAGCCUGCACU
rnacentral:tmRNA from 1 species